rnacentral:rRNA from 1 species
CAGCCGCCGCGGUAAUACGUAGGUGGCAAGCGUUGUCCGGAAUUAUUGGGCGUAAAGCGCGCGCAGGUGGUUUAAUAAGUCUGAUGUGAAAGCCCACGGCUCAACCGUGGAGGGUCAUUGGAAACUGUUAAACUUGAGUGCAGGAGAGAAAAGUGGAAUUCCUAGUGUAGCGGUGAAAUGCGUAGAGAUUAGGAGGAACACCAGUGGCGAAGGCGGCUUUUUGGCCUGUAACUGACACUGAGGCGCGAAAGCGUGGGGAGCAAACAGGAUUAGAGACCCCAGUAGUCCCUGUCUCUUAUAC